UAACUUUGUGCGGUGGAUCACUCGGCUCUGCGUCGAUGAA
rnacentral:rRNA from 1 species